rnacentral:rRNA from 1 species
GUGUCAGCAGCCGCGGUAAGACGAAGGAUGCAAGCGUUAUCCGGAUUUAUUGGGUUUAAAGGGAGCGUAGGUGGCCUUAUAAGUCAGCGGUGAAAGACUAGAGCUUAACUCUGGAAUUGCCAUUGAUACUGUAGGGCUUGAGUAUAGUUGCUGUGGGCGGAAUAUGACAUGUAGUGGUGAAAUACUUAGAGAUGUCAUAGAACACCGAUUGCGAAGGCAGCUCACAAAACUAUAACUGACACUGAGGCUCGAAAGUGCGGGGAUCAAACAGGAUUAGAUACCCUGGUAGUCC